rnacentral:rRNA from 1 species
CCCCGUGAGAGGUGAAAUUCUUGGACCGUGGCCAGACAAACUACAGCGAAAGCAUUUGCCAAGAAUGUCUUCAUUAAUCAAGAACGAAAGUCAGAGGUUCGAAGGCGAUCAGAUACCGCCCUAGUUCUGACCGUAAACGAUGCCAACUAGCGAUCCGCCGAUGGAAAUUAUAUUGCCUUGGUGGGGAGCUUCCCGGAAACGAAAGUCUUCCGGUUCCGGGGGAAGUAUGGUUGCAAAGCUGAAACUUAAAGGAAUUGACGGAAGGGCACCACCAGGAGUGGAGCAUGCGGCUUAAUUUGACUCAACACGGGGAAACUCACCCGGCCCGGACACUGUGAGGAUUGACAGAUUGAUAGCUUUUUCAUGAUUCAGUGGAUGGUGGUGCAUGGCCGUUCUUAGUUCGUGGAGUGAUUUGUCUGGUUUAUUCCGAUAACGAGCGAGACUCUAACCUACUAAAUAGCUGGUACAUAAUUUAAGUGUAUACAGCUUCUUAGAGGGAUUUGCGGUGUUCAGCCGAAAGAAAUUGAGCAAUAACAGGUCUGUGAUGCCCUUAGAUGUCCGGGGCUGCACGCGCGCUACACUGGCAAAAUCAACGUGCUUGUCCUACCCCGAAAGGGGCGGGUAAACCAUUGAAAAUUUGCCGUGAUUGGGAUCGGAAAUUGCAAUUAUUUUCCGUGAACGAGGAAUUCCAAGUAAGUGCGAGUCAUCAGCUCGCGUUGAUUACGUCCCUGCCCUUUGUACACACCGCCCGUCGCUGCCCGGGACUGAGCCAUUUCGAGAAAUUUGGGGACCGUUGAUUUAAUUUUUCUAAAUUACUUUGAUGGAAACCAAUUUAAUCGCAGUGGCUUGAACCGGGCAAAAGUCGUAACAAGGUAGCUGUAGGUGAACCUGCUGCUG